rnacentral:rRNA from 1 species
GAUGAACGCUAGCGGCAGGCCUAAUACAUGCAAGUCGAGGGGUAGAAGAGGCUUGCUUCUUUGAGACCGGCGCACGGGUGCGUAACGCGUAUGCAACCUACCUUCAUCUGGGGGAUAGCCCGGAGAAAUCCGGAUUAACACCGCAUAAAAUCACAGGAUGGCAUUAUCCAAUGAUCAAACAUUUAUGGGAUGGAGAUGGGCAUGCGUGUCAUUAGCUAGUUGGCGGGGUAACGGCCCACCAAGGCGACGAUGACUAGGGGAUCUGAGAGGAUGGCCCCCCACACUGGUAAUGGGACACGGACCAGACUCCUACGGGAGGCAGCAGUAAGGAAUAUUGGUCAAUGGAGGCAACUCUGAACCAGCCAUGCCGCGUGCAGGAAGACUGCCCUAUGGGUUGUAAACUGCUUUUAUUCGGGAAUAAACCUUAUUACGUGUAAUAAGCUGAAUGUACCGAAGGAAUAAGGAUCGGCUAACUCCGUGCCAGCCGCCGCCGUAA